UGGUGCAAAAGUAAUUGCGGUUUUUGCCAUGGAAAGUAAUGGCAAGAACUGCAAUUUCUUUUGCACCAA
rnacentral:miRNA from 1 species